rnacentral:rRNA from 1 species
CCUACGGGGGGCAGCAGUGAGGAAUAUUGGUCAAUGGGCGCUAGCCUGAACCAGCCAAGUAGCGUGAAGGAUGACUGCCCUAUGGGUUGUAAACUUCUUUUAUAUGGGAAUAAAGUGCAGUAUGUAUACUGCUUUGCAUGUACCUUAUGAAUAAGGAUCGGCUAACUCCGGGCCAGCAGCCGCGGUAAUACGGAGGAUCCGAGCGUUAUCCGGAUUUAUUGGGUUUAAAGGGAGCGUAGGCGGGUUGUUAAGUCAGUUGUGAAAGUUUGCGGCUCAACCGUAAAAUUGCAGUUGAUACUGGCAGCCUUGAGUACAGUAGAGGUAGGCGGAAUUCGUGGUGUAGCGGUGAAAUGCUUAGAUAUCACGAAGAACUCCGAUUGCGAAGGCAGCCUGCUGGACUGUAACUGACGCUGAUGCUCGAAAGUGUGGGUAUCAAACAGGAUUAGAUACCCCAGUAGUC